UUAAAAAAAAUUUAGAAAAAAUAUAGCAACUAUAUAUAUUAGUGGAAUUUUUUUUUAUUUAUAGUCGGUAGAAUAUAUUAUAUUAGUAGAAAUAUUUUUUAUAGAAAAGUAUUUAGACACGCUUUUAGAUUAAUGAAUUGAAUUAUGUUUUUAGGAAGGGAAAUAUAUAAAAUUUAAAUAAAAAGAUUAAUAAGUUUUUUAUGCUAAUGUGUUAUUUAUUUUUACUUUUUAUA
rnacentral:tRNA from 1 species